GGCUAUACGAGAGGCCCAAGUUGUUAUCUUCCGGCGUAAAGAGUGGUUAUGGGUACUUAAAAUUAAAGCCGCACACCUUCAAAGCUGUUAUACGCACCCGAAGUCUAGAAGCCCGAUUACAAAAGUAGCUUUAUCACCCCAGACCCCACGAAAGCUCUGGCACAAACUGGGAUUAGAUACCCCACUAUGCCUAGCCCUAAACAUUGGUAUAAUCCCACAUAUUAUACCCGCCUGGGUACUACGAGCACCAGCUUAAAACCCAAAGGACUUGGCGGUGCUUUAGACCCCCCUAGAGGAGCCUGUUCUAGAACCGAUAACCCCCGUUCAACCUCACCCUUUCUUGUCUAUUCCGCCUAUAUACCGCCGUCGUCAGCUUACCCUGUGAAGGCCUAAUAGUAAGCACAAAUGGUACAACCCAAAACGUCAGGUCGAGGUGUAGCGAAUGAAAGGGGAAGAAAUGGGCUACAUUUCCCUGUACCCAGGGAAAACGAAUGACAUACUGAAAUACAUGUCU
rnacentral:rRNA from 1 species